CUGAACGACAAGGCGGAACCGUUUCUGUCUGUGUGUACAAAAUGUUUUUCCUUCACCGUUGAUAGUCGAGUCGUGACCGACAAGCGAACUGUGCUUGCAAACUUCCAAGACAGCAGGUACCUCAACCUAGCAGCAGUUAAUGCAUUUCGAAACAAAGAUGUAGCAAAAUGGACUCACACCUGCGUUGCUUUGCUUGUCGGUGGGCGUUGCCUGACGCUUUGCGAUGGCGUUACGUCAUAACAACAACAACCAAUCAGUUGUGUGCUCCGGAAACACGCGGCAUAUGCGGCUAUCAGGUAAAUACGCGGGAAAUACAUCCCACGACCAGAUGCACGCACACCGGAGUAAACAGCUGCCUCCUCUCUCCGCGCUCAUUUGAACGUUUCACGUCAAGGUUCGUGAAGAGCAUUAGCGUGAUUUGAUUGGUUAGCGCCCUGCGCUGGCGCCGUCUGUUCAAACGCGAUGUGAUUGGCUGCCUCCCCGCGCAGCCGUUUGAAAAGUUGAGGCGCGCAUUUAGCGCGAGCGCCGCCUUGUUGUUGUUGUUAGCACCGGUUAGCACCUGGAGCUAGCUAGCUAGCUAGCUAGCUAGCAGCGAGCGAGCUGAGUCACUCUGACAAGACUCGAAGCUUUUCCCAAAGAAAGAGAGUGAAGACGACAGGUGAAGGUGAAACGAGAGGAGAUGGAGUUUUAUCUCCCGUGUGGUUGAAGCAGCAGAGGAGUCAGGACGUGAGCACAAACUCGGGUCGCUGUUCCAGGUUGCCGGUGCCUGUCCACACCACUGUGAUGACGGAGAGAGAAAACAGCCCUGAUGUACGAUUCCUGGUCUGUCACGACAGGCACAGACAGCGGCCACCAAACGCAGUGGACUCCCUGACAGCUCCGUCUGGCUGCUCCAAAUCACACAGACAGGCCUUUUUCCUGCGACGACUGUGGCCAGUUCACAGAAACAGGCAGAAAUCACUCGUCUUCUCCAUUAAUAGCGUUGAAGUGUUGAAACAUCAUCUUGUGCCUCAUCGUUCGCAGGUAGGGUGUCAUGCUUCUCCAAUUAAUUGCUCGCCUGCCAAAUGUAUCUUUGCACAUUAUCUUGUUCUAUCUUUUGAUUGCAUGUGCUUAAUCCUUAUCAUAAUUGGAGUUGCACACUGCCACUGGGCCAGUCAUGUCUCAUACCAAAUUAGGCUUAAAAUUGUUUACUGGAAUUUGGAUGCUGCUCACUUUAGCUAUGAAUUUAAUAUCACAGAAACCAAUUAUGCUAAUAAAG
rnacentral:lncRNA from 1 species